rnacentral:rRNA from 1 species
UACGUAGGGUGCGAGCGUUAAUCGGAAUUACUGGGCGUAAAGCGUGCGUAGGCGGUUCGUUAAGUUCGUUGUGAAAGCCCCGGGCUUAACCUGGGAAUGGCAUUGGAAACUGGCUCGCUGGAGUCUGGCAGAGGGGGGUGGAAUUCCACGUGUAGCAGUGAAAUGCGUAGAGAUGUGGAGGAACACUGAUGGCGAAGGCAGCCCCCUGGGUCAAGAUUGACGCUCAUGCACGAAAGCGUGGGGAGCAAACAGG